UAGUUAUCUAGCUGCCUAAGUCGCUCUGGAUAAGAGCGUCUGCUAAAUGACUUAAA
rfam:Salmo salar isolate Sally breed double haploid chromosome ssa25, whole genome shotgun sequence.